UGAUAAAAAUGUGUUAAAGGUUGGUGGUGGAGUAGGUAAAAGGGUAAGAGGAGAAGUUCUCAAAAGAAUCAAUAAAAGGGUGGUGGUGGUGGUGAUGCAUAUGAGAUUCCAAAGACAGGUGGUAUAGGCCCUUCAUAUACAGGUGGUGGUGGCGGCGAUGAAUAUACCGGUGGUGGAGGUGAGGGAUAUGCAUAUACUGGUGAUGGUGGGGGUGAGGUGUAUACCGGUGGUGGCGGUGAGGGAUAGGCAUAUACUGGUGAUGGUGGUGGUGAUGGGGAUGGUGGUGGGUGAUAAGGUGUUUGAUGUGGCGCUGGCGAUGAUGGUGGUGGAGGUUCUACACAAGGUGGCGGUGGAGGUGGUGGAGGUUCUACACAAGGUGGUGGAGAUGGCGGUGGUGGUGAAUAGACUGGUGGUGGAGGUGAGUGUACUGGAGGAGGUGGUGGGGGUGAUAAAUAUGGAUAUACGGGUGGAGGAGGUGAGUGAGGUGGUGGUGGUGGCGAA
rnacentral:lncRNA from 1 species